CAGUCGAGCGGCAGGCAGCAAUGCCGAGAGCGGCGGACUGGUGAGUAACACGUGGGUGACGUACCCUUCAGACCGGGAUAGCCUUUAGAAAUAGAGGAUAAUACCGGGUACGGUCGCAUAUGUCAGAGAUAUGCGAGGAAAGGAGCUCCGGCUCCGCUGAAGGAACGGCCUGCGGCCCAUCAGCUAGUUGGCGGGGUAACGGCCCACCAAGGCAGCAACGGGUAUCCGGCCUAAGAGGGCGAACGGACACAUUGGGACUGAGAUACGGCCCAGACUCCUACGGGAGGCAGCAGGUAAGAAUAUUCCGCAAUGGGCGAAAGCCUGACGGAGCGACGCCGCGUGGAUGAUGAAGGCCGGAAGGUUGUAAAAUCCUUUUAUGACUGACGAAUAAGUAUGCGAGGAAAUGAGCAUACGGUGACGGUAGGUCAUGAAUAAGCACCGGCUAAUUACGUGCCAGCAGCCGCGGUAACACGUAAGGUGCAAGCGUUGUUCGGAAUUAUUGGGCGUAAAGGGCAUGUAGGCGGAAAAUCAAGCUUGGUGUGAAAUCCCGGGGCUCAACUCCGGAACUGCAUCGAGAACUG
rnacentral:rRNA from 1 species